GAUGAAGAACGCAGCGAAAUGCGAUAAGUAAUGCGAAUUGCAGAAUUUCCGUGAGUCAUCGAAUCUUUGAACGCACAUUGCGCCCACUGGUAUUCCGGUGGGCAUGCCUGUUCGAGCGUCAUUAUCCUCCCUCAAACCCCGGGUUUGGUGUUGGACCCAAGUUGUGUGAACAACUGGUCUCAAAGACAAUGACGGCGUCCGUGGGACCCUCGGUGCAACGAGCUUUUAGGAGCACGCGCCGAGUUGCAAGGACCUUCCGGGCCGGUCUCCUAUACUAUUUUACAAGGUUGACCUCGGAUCAGGUAGGAAUACCCGCUGAACUUAAGCAUAUCAAUAAGCGGAGGA
rnacentral:misc_RNA from 1 species